rnacentral:misc_RNA from 1 species
UGAAAUUGCGUGCCACCCAAUUUUUUCCCCAAUUUUAUAAUUUGAUGUAUAACUGUUAUUGAAGAGUUUUGGAGAAGAAAGCAGAGCGAUGGAUCACGCAGCAGAUGCUCAUCGGACUGAUUUAAUGACUAUUACUAGGUUCGUGUUGAAUGAACAGAGUAAAUACCCUGAAUCUCGCGGCGAUUUCACUAUUUUGCUCAGUCAUAUUGUUCUUGGCUGCAAAUUUGUUUGUACUGCAGUUAACAAGGCAGGUUUGGCCAAACUCCUUGGGCUUGCUGGUGAGACUAAUGUGCAG